rnacentral:rRNA from 1 species
AGAGUUUGAUUAUGGCUCAAGAUGAACGCUGGCGGCGUGCCUAACACAUGCAAGUCGAACGAAGCGCAUGCCUGGAACCCUCCGGGGGGAAGGGCAUAUGACUGAGUGGCGGACGGGUGAGUAACGCGUGGGCAACCUGCCCCGCACUGGGGGACAACAGCCGGAAACGGCUGCUAAUACCGCAUAUGCGCACAGCUUUGCAUGAAGCAGUGUGGAAAACUCCGGUGGUGCGGGAUGGGCCCGCGUCUGAUUAGCUGGUUGGCGGGGCAACGGCCCACCAAGGCGACGAUCAGUAGCCGGCCUGAGAGGGUGGACGGCCACAUUGGGACUGAGACACGGCCCAGACUCCUACGGGAGGCAGCAGUGGGGGAUAUUGCACAAUGGGGGGAACCCUGAUGCAGCGACGCCGCGUGAGCGAAGAAGUACCUCGGUAUGUAAAGCUCUAUCAGCAGGGAAGAAAAUGACGGUACCUGACUAAGAAGCCCCGGCUA